GGAAGGAUCAUUACAGAAUUGUCAACGGGUUGUUGCUGGUCCUCGAACGGGGACAUGUGCACGCUCUGUUUACACAUCCACUCACACCUGUGCACCCUCUGUAGUUCUGUGGUCUGGGGGACCCUGUCUUCCUGCCGUGGUUCUACGUCUUUACACACACACUGUAAUAAAGUCUUAUGGAAUGUAUGCCGCGUCUAACGCAAUACAAUACAACUUUCAGCAACGGAUCUCUUGGCUCUCGCAUCGAUGAAGAACGCAGCGAAAUGCGAUAAGUAAUGUGAAUUGCAGAAUUCAGUGAAUCAUCGAAUCUUUGAACGCACCUUGCGCCCCUUGGCUAUUCUGAGGGGCAUGCCUGUUUGAGUAUCAUGAACACCUCAACUCUCAUGGUUCGCCGUGAUGAGCUUGGACUCUGGGGGUUUUGCUGGCCUGCGGUCGGCUCCCCUCAAAUAAAUCAGCCUCCCAGUGUUUGGUGGCAUCACGGGUGUGAUAAAUAUCUACGCUCGCAGUUGUCUGCCAGGUAACCUUUGGUGACAAAGGUUCGCUGGAGCUCACAGAUGUCUCUCCUCAGCGAGGACAGCUUUUUGAACGUUCGAUCUCAAAUCAGG
rnacentral:sRNA from 1 species